UCUGCGCGGCGCGGGGGGCUCGCGGCCCGCGGUUGACUCGCUGCGGUCGGGAGGGUCAGGCCUGAGGGUCAGCCCCGCCGGCCCUCCAGAAAGCCGGGAGCGCGAUGGCGCCUUUACCCCGCCCUCCCCGCCGCCGGAAGCCGCGCUUGCAGGGACAGCGCUCCUGGGGGUGUAGUGCGUUCUUUUGAGUCGGGAUCCUCCCGUGUAGCCCAGCGAGGGCUGCAGCCCUCAGACGGUGUCUGUUUUCUUUCCUUUAAAAUAAGCCGUUUGCUUUUAACGGUGCCUUUAGCUUGCACUAGGGAGGGGAGAGCUCACGGUCCCGGCUUCACGGCUGGAAACUGACCUGCCUGCCCACUCACCCGCCAGCCCCCACCCAGACAGCGACGUGCCGCCCCGAGAGGACCAUCUCGGGGAAGAUUCCUGGGGAAGCCGAGGGUGGCAAAGGGCCCUGGAGUCGCGGGCAGGUCUAACGGUGACCGCUCCUGUGCGGCUCUGUGUGGGGGAGACCCCAUCGCCUCUGAGCUGAACAGAGCUGGAGGGACGUGACUGCCGUGACCUUUCCCCCACUUCCCAGGAUGACUGGUGUGUGACAGGGAGGGCGGGAUGCCCGGAAGAACAGAGACGGGCUGUCGGGCAGACAGGGCCCUGGAAAUCCGCUUUCUUGAGCAACCCCAUCAGCACGGUUCGUCAUUGCACGCAGUGUCCGUGCCCCUUUACCCAGAAUCCUCCCGGGAACUCCCCCUCAGACGGGAACAGGAAACUGGCUGCGGCGUUGACUCUACAAGCUGGAGAGGAGGGACAGUGAUGUCAGCUUCAACUGUAGGAUUUCAAAGCCUGCCAAUGCUCCCAGGGCCUUUUGUCCCAGAGUUUAGAAUCACCUUGGAAACAGCUCCUGGGUGGAGUCCUCGUCCUGGUGGAGGUAACGGGCCACACCCGCUCGGCAGCCCUGGACUGCACGCGUAGAUCGGCCAUAUUCUUCUUGCUCUGAAUCACCAAAGCUUUCCUCUCCUCACCCUGCCUUGGCAUCCACAGCCGGCUCUGGCAUGGGGGAGCCCAGGCAGCCGCCAGUGGGCCAGCGCUGGGCACGUAGCUUCGGGACUACGGAGCUUUUGAUAAUCCAUCAAGAAUAUAUUUCCUUGUCAGGGACCACCUGAGAGAACUCGCCAACUUCAGAGACCACCUGUGGAAGCUCACCAACUUGCCUCAACUUGCCCGUUCCCUUACCUGCAGUAAACAUACUGCUUGGAGAUGCCCAUUCCCUUACCUGCAGUAAACAUACUGCUUGGAGAUGCCCGUUCCCUUACCUGCACCUGCAGUAAACACACUGCUUGGAGAUGCCCGUUCCCUUACCUACAGUAAACAUACUGCUUGGAGAUGUCUGUUCCCUUACCUACAGUAAACAUACUGCUUGGAGAUGCCCGUUCCCUUACCUACAGUAAACAUACUGCUUGGCAACAGCAGAGAUGUGCUCACAGAACCGUGGCUUAUCACAAGAUGUUUCAGAGAAGAAAUCUGGCCGAGAAGAAUCUGUAAUUUUUCACCCACCCUACUUCCUUAUCCUGAACCCUUUAUAAAAGCUGAUUCUGCUCAGUAAAGUUAGUCCUUGACAAGCA